rnacentral:rRNA from 1 species
GAUGAACGCUAGCGGUAGGCUUAAUACAUGCAAGUCGAACGGUAACAGGUGUAGCAAUACAUGCUGACGAGUGGCAGACGGGUGAGGAACUCGUACGCAAUCUUCCUCUUUCUGGUGAAUAGCCCUGAGAAAUUAGGAUUAAUACACCAUAGUAUUACGAGAUGGCAUCAUUUUGUAAUUAAAACUCCGGUGGAAAGAGAUGAGCGUGCGCCUGAUUAGAUAGUUGGUGAGGUAACGGCUCACCAAGUCAACGAUCAGUAACUGGUGUGAGAGCACGACCAGUCACACGGGCACUGAGAUACGGGCCCACUCCUACGGGAGCAGCAGUAAGGAAUAUUGGUCAAUGGACGCAAGUCUGAACCAGCCAUACCGCGUGAAGGAUGAAGGCCCUCUGGGUUNUAAACUUCUUUUAUCUGGGAAGAAAUCCACUGUUUCUACGGUGGUUGACGGUACCAGAGGAAUAAGCACCGGCUAACUCCGUGCCAGC